rnacentral:lncRNA from 1 species
CUUAUAUUUACAAUAUAUUUGAUAAUGUCCUUGCAAAAUAAGAUUCAGUAGAAAAAAAACGUAGAAUGUCAAAGGCUCUUGACAAAGUCCUGUUAAAUACAUCUCAUUCCUCUGGCAUUAUAGUUUUGAAUCACAUCAUGAAGCAGUUCUAUCUGUGUAGUGCUUUUGAAAUCAUUGUUUUAAGAGCAAUGCUGUAAUUAAAAAUAUACCAUAAGCCCCUAAACUGCACAAAAGUAACAUGUGAAAUCAUAUUCCAAUAAUGGAUGCACUAAUGUGGGUUAAUCAACAUCUUUUCUUUUGAUUAAUAGGCGAGAGCUAAGUCAACAAAAACUUCAUAGCCAGGAGCUCAUUUCUCAACUGGAAAUUGCAAAUGAAAAGGCAGCCAAGGAUGAAAAAUUAAUGAGGGAAUAUCGAGAAUACAUCAAUAGGCUUCAAAGGCAUCUGAGCCAGGCAGAACAGAGGGCAGCUACAGCAACUCAAAAGUUACAGCUCAGCCUGAUAACAACACAGAAGAAAAAAACUGCUUCCCUGAAGAAGGUGGAAGAUAUAUAAACACCUGUAUUGUUUGUUCACACCAUGUUGGAGCUUAAAGUCAUUCCCCGGCCUGUCUCUGCUCCAUGAGAAAGCUUGAGGCACCUUCUGCAGCCUGAGAUCUGCACUGAAGCCACUCUGAGUGAAGGCAUCAGCCGCCACUGGUGGAGACCCUCCACUGGAGCUGUGACCUUUGCUUUCCAACAAGUGCCCACCAUUCUGCCCUAAGGGUGAGGUAGGACGUGCACCCCGACCUGGGCAGGAGGCCUGUGGAAUGUCCCUCCUUCAAAGAGGCACCCAAAUGCAUAGCAAGGCUUGUAAAACUUAGAUAAACAUUUCCUAGUUUAUUUAGCUAAGAAAGGGGUGGAUCAAGAUACUCUAUCUGUAGGCAUACUAACGAUUGGAAGAAGACCACAAGAUGUCAUUUAAAGGACUUAAAUGUAGCUGUGAAAUGCCUCCCUUACCUUCCAGUUUUAAGAUUUCGGUUCAGUUUGGUUUUAUGCCUCUUUGAAAGUGUCUGUAAAUAAAAUGCUGUUCAGACCAUAAUCUUUCUUCAGUUGUGCUAUUUCUUGCUAAUUACUAUUUUACAGUUGUUCCUUGCUUGUCCGUUGAUCUGCUCUCCUGGUUUGUCUGGGAACUUGAGUGCUCUG